CAAGGCUGGAUUGAGUCUUGCUUACUUUUGCACCAAUCAAUGGCAAAGGCGAAAGGAUUACUUCUAGAUGGCUCAAGUGCUCCCCCAGACUGGGGACGUUUCCCCAGAGUAAGCUUCUUGGUCAAAAAGGAAGCAUAGAUAACUGAACAAAGUCAAGGUUACGUUAGGCUGGAGUGUGAUGGCCCACACAUGGCUCACUGCGAUCUUGACCUCCCAGGCUCAAGCAAUCCUCUCAUCUCAGCUUCUUGAGUAGCUGGGACUACAGACAUGCAUCACCAUACCUGGCCAACUCUCUUUUAAAAUCUUUUUGUACAGAUAGGAUCUUGAGGGCAUCAGGACCUAUUCUUCUCAUGGCUUUAUUAGAUUGGCCUGAACUAUCAGCAACUGUGGUGGCUUGCUGCUAUUAUCAUCCUUCCUGCUUCUCACUGCUACCCAGGAGAGUCCAGUCCACCAAAAAUGGUUACAAUCAGAUCCCUUGGCAUAAGGAAAGCAAGCUUCCCUGUUGUGAGCAGCCAUAUAGAGAGACCCACAUGACAAGGAGCUGGUAUCUCAAGCCAGCAGACAGCAAGGGGCUGAGGCCUGCUGACAGUCACGUGGGUGAGUAUGGAAGUAGACCCUUCUCCAGCCGGGCUUUCAGAUGACUGCAGCCUCAGCCGACAUCUUGGUUGCAGCUU